rnacentral:misc_RNA from 1 species
AACUUUUGGCAAUGGAUCUCUUGGCUCUCGCCUCGAUGAAGAACGCAGCGAAAUGCGAUAAGUAAUGUGAAUUGCAGAAUUCAGUGAAUCAUCGAAUCUUUGAACGCAUUUUGCGCUCUUUGGUAUUCCGUGGAGCAUACCUGUUUAAGAGUCAUUUAAACUCUCAAACCACAUCAUUCGUUUGACGUGGCUUUGGACGUGGGGGUUGCCGGCUUUCUUCUCAGAGAGGCCUGCUCCUCUGAAAUGCAUUAGUGGUAUCUGAAGUGGAAAAACCGCUAGGUGUGAUAAUACUGUCUAUGCCUUUGGUUUAUGCCGCAUGUGCUGCUUCCAACCGCACACAUUUUCUGUGCUUUUGACAAACUUGACCUCAAAUCAGGUAGGACUACCCGCUGAACUUAAGCAUAUCAAUAAGCGGAGGCU